CUCUAUCCAUUGAGCUAACCAGGAGGCAGUUACUGAGUCAUAGUGUAAAUUGGAUUUGGAGGUUCUGCCGCUGCACUGUGACCCUUUUGCCACUCAUUUUCCUUCUUGGCACUGUGAUGCUCAAGUAAUAACAAAUACUACAUUCUCAGGGUUCACCAUAGCCAGAUCAUAGCACCAGUGACUGACUGAUCAUCAUUGAUUAAACCAUCUGUUCACGGUCUGAGGGACACCAUUGAUUUUAACUUGGUCGGCCUGUGUUUCAUUCAAAACGAGAUGAAAGUUGGAGAAGAGAAGCUUUUUGCAGACGUCAUAGAAAAAAAGAUUCGGAAGAAACAGAACUAUACUUUCGAGCAAGCUGUGAAAUAUCAGUGUCAAGUUACGUUUUUAAUUAUUAAAAAAGUACCUU